UACGGGGGGGCGAGCGUUGUUCGGAAUUACUGGGCGUAAAGGGCGCGUAGGCGGUGCUCUAAGUCGGAUGUGAAAACUCUGGGCUCAACCCAGAGCCUGCAUCCGAAACUGGAGUGCUAGAGUUCUGGAGGGGGUAGCGGGAAUUCCUGGUGUAGCGGUGAAAUGCGUAGAUAUCAGGAGGAACACCGGUGGCGAAGGCGGCUACCUGGACAGAAACUGACGCUGAGGCGCGAAAGCUAGGGGAGCAAACAGG
rnacentral:rRNA from 1 species